rfam:Danio rerio chromosome 4, GRCz11 reference primary assembly.
GCAUUGGUGGUUCAGUGGUAGAAUUCUCGCCUCCCACGCGGGAGUCCUGUGUCCGAUUCCUGGCCAAUGCA